AUUGAACGCUAGCGGGAUGCCUUACACAUGCAAGUCGAACGGAGUGGCGACCGGGUGAGUAAUGUAUCGGCACGUGCCCAGUAGCGGGGGAUAACUACGCGAAAGCGUAGCUAAUACCGCAUACUCUUGGAGCGGCCGAUAGCGGAUUAGCGUGUUGGUGGGGUAACGGCUCACCACGGCGACGAUCCGUCGCUGGUUUGAGAGGACGACCAGCCACACUGGGACUGAGACACGGCCCAGACGCCUACGGGAGGCAGCAGUGGGGAAUUUUGGACAAUGGGGGAAACCCUGAUCCAGCCAUCCCGCGUGUGCGAUGAAGGCCUUCGGGUUGUAAAGCACGUUUGGCAGGAAAGCGGUACCUGCAGAAUAAGCACCGGCUAACUACGUGCCAGCAGCCGCGGUAAUAC
rnacentral:rRNA from 1 species